rnacentral:rRNA from 1 species
UACAGAGGUCUCAAGCGUUGUUCGGAUUCAUUGGGCGUAAAGGGUGCGUAGGCGGCGCGGUAAGUCGGGUGUGAAAUCUUGGAGCUUAACUCCGAAACUGCAUUCGAUACUGGCGUGCUUGAGGACUGGAGAGGAGACUGGAAUUUACGGUGUAGCAGUGAAAUGCGUAGAUAUCGUAAGGAAGACCAGUGGCGAAGGCGGGUCUCUGGACAGUUCCUGACACUGAGACACGAAGGCCAGGGGGAGCAAACGGGG